UCCGUGUGAGCUACCAUGCAGUCGAACGGUAACAGGAAGCAGCUUGCUGCUUUGCUGACGAGUGGCGGACGGGUGAGUAAUGUCUGGGAAACUGCCUGAUGGAGGGGGAUAACUACUGGAAACGGUAGCUAAUACCGCAUAACGUCGCAAGACCAAAGAGGGGGACCUUCGGGCCUCUUGCCAUCGGAUGUGCCCAGAUGGGAUUAGCUAGUAGGUGGGGUAACGGCUCACCUAGGCGACGAUCCCUAGCUGGUCUGAGAGGAUGACCAGCCACACUGGAACUGAGACACGGUCCAGACUCCUACGGGAGGCAGCAGUGGGGAAUAUUGCACAAUGGGCGCAAGCCUGAUGCAGCCAUGCCGCGUGUAUGAAGAAGGCCUUCGGGUUGUAAAGUACUUUCAGCGGGGAGGAAGGCGACAGGGUUAAUAACCCUGUCGAUUGACGUUACCCGCAGAAGAAGCACCGGCUAACUCCGUGCCAGCAGCCGCGGUAAUACGGAGGGUGCAAGCGUUAAUCGGAAUUACUGGGCGUAAAGCGCACGCAGGCGGUCUGUCAAGUCGGAUGUGAAAUCCCCGGGCUCAACCUGGGAACUGCAUUCGAAACUGGCAGGCUAGAGUCUUGUAGAGGGGGGUAGAAUUCCAGGUGUAGCGGUGAAAUGCGUAGAGAUCUGGAGGAAUACCGGUGGCGAAGGCGGCCCCCUGGACAAAGACUGACGCUCAGGUGCGAAAGCGUGGGGAGCAAACAGGAUUAGAUACCCUGGUAGUCCACGCCGUAAACGAUGUCGACUUGGAGGUUGUGCCCUUGAGGCGUGGCUUCCGGAGCUAACGCGUUAAGUCGACCGCCUGGGGAGUACGGCCGCAAGGUUAAAACUCAAAUGAAUUGACGGGGGCCCGCACAAGCGGUGGAGCAUGUGGUUUAAUUCGAUGCAACGCGAAGAACCUUACCUACUCUUGACAUCCAGAGAACUUACCAGAGAUGCAUUGGUGCCUUCGGGACUCUGAGACAGUGCUGCAUGGCUGUCGUCAGCUCGUGUUGUGAAAUGUUGGGUUAAGUCCCGCAACGAGCGCAACCCUUAUCCUUUGUGCCAGCGGUCAGCCGGGACUCAAGGAGACUGCCAGUGAUAACUGAGAAGUGGGAUGACGGUCAGGUCAUCAUGGCCUACGAGUAGGCUACACACGUGCUACAAUGCGCAUACAAAGAGAAGCGACUUCGCGGAGACAGCCGAACUCUAUAAUCGUUCGUAUUCCGAAUUGGAGAUCUUGAACCUCGCACUUCCGUAGAAGAACGCGAAAUCGUC
rnacentral:rRNA from 1 species